UUGAAAGGGAAACGAUUGAAGUCAGUCGUGCUGGCGCGAAAUCAACCUUCUCGUCUUGAGAUCACAUGGCGUGGCGAGCCUCAAAACCGUCACGAAGCGUGAACUCUUGGUGAAAUGGAGCACUUUCGUGUCCGCUGGUUAACAUCAAUUUCGAACGUCAUAAAAAGGCUGGAGGGGUGUGGCUCCUUCGGGAGUGUUAUAACCUUUAGCGGAAUGUGGUGUUCGGGAUUGAGGAUUGCAACGAAUACCUUUAGGGCUAUUCCACCUGGCUUCUCUUUGGUAUCCUGGUGACGACAGCUUUCCGUCGUCGUUAGGAUUCGCCUAUGGAGCAGUCUAGAGUGUGAGCCAGCAGGUUAAGGAUGUUGACGUA
rnacentral:rRNA from 1 species